UUUUCUUCCUCCAGCUACAAUCAAUGGAUCAACAUAUAUUAAGAAUGAGGCUCCAAGAAAAGCUGUGUACUGGUGUGAGUCUGGAACAGAGUUCAGCAAUGCAGUCAAUAUCUCCACACACUCUGAUGGCGUUAUCCUGGUGAGCCCUGUGUAUCCUGUACCUGUGGGAGAGUCUGUAACUCUCCUCUGUGUCAUGAAGACUGGAAAUAUUUCCUCUGAUGUGUUUUUCUACAAAAAUAACAAAGUCAUUGAAAAUGAGAGACGAGGAGAGAUGAAGAUCUCUGCAGUGUCAGAAUCAGAUGAAGGUUUCUACAAGUGUCAGUACAAUGGAAGAGAAUCAGCACAAAGCUGGAUGGCUGUGAAAGUGUCCAGAUCUGAGAGCUCUUCAUUCCAUGUCUGGUUGAUCUUUGGUCUGGUUUGUGGAGUUUUGCUUAUUUUCAUCCUCUGCCUGCUGUGGUGCUACAAAUACAAAAAGAGGUCAUGCUGGAGC